rnacentral:rRNA from 1 species
UACGAAGGGGGCUAGCGUUGCUCGGAAUUACUGGGCGUAAAGGGCGCGUAGGCGGCCCGCUAAGUCGAACGUGAAAUCCCCGGGCUCAACCCGGGAACUGCGUCCGAUACUGGCGGGCUUGAAUCCGGGAGAGGGAUGCGGAAUUCCAGGUGUAGCGGUGAAAUGCGUAGAUAUCUGGAGGAACACCGGUGGCGAAGGCGGCAUCCUGGACCGGCAUUGACGCUGAGGCGCGAAAGCCAGGGGAGCAAACGGG